AGAGUUGAUCAUGGCUCAGGAUGAACGCUAGCGACAGGCUUAACACAUGCAAGUCGAGGGGCAUCACGGGAGUAGCAAUACAACUGGUGGCGACCGGCGCACGGGUGAGUAACGCGUAUGCAACCUACCUAUCAGAGGGGAAUAACCCGGCGAAAGUCGGACUAAUACCGCAUAAAACAGGGGCACCGCAUGGUGAUAUUUGUUAAAGAAAUUCGCUGAUAGAUGGGCAUGCGUUCCAUUAGGUAGUUGGUGAGGUAACGGCUCACCAAGCCGACGAUGGAUAGGGGAACUGAGAGGUUGGUCCCCCACACUGGUACUGAGACACGGACCAGACUCCUACGGGAGGCAGCAGUGAGGAAUAUUGGUCAAUGGGCGGGAGCCUGAACCAGCCAAGUCGCGUGAAGGAAGAAGGAUCUAUGGUUCGUAAACUUCUUUUGCAGGGGAAUAAAGUGCAGGACGUGUCCUGUUUUGUAUGUACCCUGAGAAUAAGGAUCGGCUAACUCCGUGCCAGCCGCCGC
rnacentral:rRNA from 1 species